GCAUCCGCUCCAUCCUGUGUCUCUUUUCGCCUCAGUGUGCACCGUCUCCGGGUUCACGGUCCGGUCCUGACGCGCUGCAGCGGCUCCUCACCACCAGUCUCCGGCACCGGCAGGCAGCACUGAGCCGCUGAUUGGGCCUCGGCAGACGCUCACCCCUCGGUGCAGCUAGACACAACGCUCAUUGGCCAGGCAGUCACUCCGUGCAGACCAGACAGACUGCUGAUUGGCUGUUCGUUUCCCCAGAAGAUCCAGACAGACAGCUGAUUAGUCCUCAGGCCCUUAUCAAUGGAAGCACUCUGAUAGCUGAUUGGUCGUUUAUUUCCGCGGUGGCGACAGAGAGAGAUCUGAUUGAUUGGUUGGUUGGUUGGUAGUAGUGUUGUUGUCUAUGUCUGGAUGGAGAGCCAUGUUAACUCCGAUGGGGCUAAAGAAACAAUGUGUUCGUUACAUUAAUGGAAGUAACGGGGUCGUUUUAAGCUUUUUACAUACAUUCUUUGAGUAACCCGGUUUCCUCGAGUGGAGACAGACAUUAAUAGAAACCUGGUUGAUGCCUUGUUAUGCUUGAUUUCUUGUUGUAGCUGGUAACCGUUUCUUGUGCACGCAUG